CUGCAGCUUCGCAACAGCAUCGACCUUCUCUUUCGCCGGACCAAAGUUCAGUGCACAUAGAGACACAACAUUACAUAUUUUGGUAGUUACCAUUCAGACAUCAAACGCUAAUCAUUUUGAACUUAAAAUUACUGUUCUGCCUUCAGCCAUCGUUGUUACGCAGACGACAAGCUGACACAACUGCCAACAUACUACGAACAAUUAUUUUAUUAAUUGUAUGUUCCGAAAUAUUACUGAUUGUGUUUGCUUUAAUCUGUUGAAAAAGAGUAACGCUUGGAAAUGUACCGAUGCUGGACAUUUUGGAUGAACACCGGAAUCCCAGUUCUCAAUAGCGGGCUUGAUACAUACAUGUAGUUGGUGCAACGAUGAUCGUGAAGUGCUGAACUGGUUGCAAUCACCACUAGAAAAAGAGUGACAGCGGUGCAGUAUGUGUACAAAGGGAGAGCUCCUGCCAUCAGCGUUCCACCCACCGGAAAUCGUCGACAUGAAGAUCAGCCGUACUCGGACAUCACUAUUUUGCCGGUCGUUAGAGAUCGACUUGAACAAGUGCAUUAUCACCACAUGAGAAAUGUCUUGAAAAUUCAGUUUAAUUCUAGUUUUCCGGCAUAUGCCAUAUUUUAUUGCGUGCCAGAGGUAUAACAUACCAGGUUUUAUCCCUUGCCAUGCCAGUGGCAACGCCAGAGGCACUUGCCAGUGCCAGGUUUUACACCCUGCCGUUAAUUUUGCUGCUGCAACCUCUUGAAACGCCCUUGGUCAUACGGAUCCAGAAAAGAAUACACCGUCAGCUGCACAUCCAAAGAAUUCUUCAAAUCAAAUGUACGGCGUCACACUGGUGCUUCGGUUUACGACCGCCUAACGCGGAUGAAUAAGAAGCGUUGUCUGUUACCGCGUGAACGCGCUCAUCAAAUUUCCGGAAGUAGUUCAAUAUCCCUUGCAAAAGGGACGCUUUAAAGGCUUCAGCAAGAGUACGCGUACCAGUCGGUGUAAAACGCUGCGAUGCGGCUCAACCAUUUCAAGCCAACUAAAGCGUCCCGACACCAUGGCUCCGACACUGGCAAGGAAAUUCGCAUUACAGGGAAGGUUUCCGGCGUCACCUUUUUCCCAAGGUACCCCCGCGGACGGAUUGUCCGCAUUCUGAAAUAACUUUGAUACUGCAUCCUGAUGUAACAUCGCGUAGUUCUCGGCAAUGUGACCUCAGCUUCCGUAAAACUGAAGAGCGCAGCGUCUUUCGCUCUGUAGCUUUUGAUACACCCUGGCCACCAUGAUUCCCGUUGAUUUUCAUCCGCUUUCAAAAGAACAUCAACUUCUUCUUCUUUUAUGUCCUGGUCUGUAUGGAAGGGGUAUGAAAACUGAUCUACUUUCCGUAAUUGUUCAAAUGGGACCACUGUUGCUUCUUCGGUUUGGCUAUUGAUAAUACAAGCCCGUUUUCAAACCUGUAGACCGCUGUAAGCGCGACGCAGUAAAUAAGCGCACAGUGAAAAGCUAGAUUUUAUCUACUCUGCACUGGAUGCAUUGGCGUAGAGCACUCAGUCUAUCUCAUACUUGUCUCUCUCACACACCCCUCACACCGCAGUGGCGUUAAUGACCAAAACGCCGUGACGUGCCGAAGCACCCUGAAUGGCUCAAGCCCACGUUUUUCAAAUAUCCCGCUUACAGCGGUCUACAGGUUUGAAAACGGGCUUGUAUAAAGACCGUUUCCUGCCGAUCCACACACGUAGCCCCGGUCGAUUACAUGUUAACACUGUGCAUAAAGUGUGCGGUACCAAGAUCGACGGCAUGCUACUGGUAGACUAUAGAAACUUUAAUAGGGUGC